GCGAGCUGGCCAGACACUCCGUCUUUCCCACAACAGGUGCAUUCAUCCAUCCGCCGACGGUUGGGGAGGUCUUGCUAGCUGGUGGGCUUGGCUCUUUACCCGUUGUCCCCGAGUAGCCCUCAAGCCUGGAUGUAGGUGAGCGUGAGGAUGCUACUAGUGGGUAGAAGGAUGACAGCAGGGACGGGGACGACCCCCCUCCCAUCACUUCCUAAGGUGAUGCACUUGCUCCUACCCCCCAAGCAGCCUCAGUCCCGGCAGCCCCCUCCCCCCGGCCUGGCCUGCCAGCUCAGGGUGAGCCCGGUCGGAUUGUCACUCGACGCCCACUAGUGGCUGAGGAGGCUCCAGUGCGCAGGCUCCGGGCACCGGAUAAAAGCGGAGCUGGCGAGUCCCGCGCUGUCUCGAUGGAGGAGCGAGAAACGCAAGAGGUCGGGGGGAGAAGCCGCAGAAAAAAUUGCAGCCAUCGUCAGCGCCGCCUCCCUGCCACCGUGUAUGGGGUAAAAGCUGCCGUUGCCGCUGCCGGUGCAGUCGCUGCCGCCGCCUCCUAUACUUCUUAGCACCGGGGAAGGAUUCCCCGCCGCGGGACAGUGUGCUGGGCGGGGAGCGGGAGUUCGUUUGUGUGGCGGUGAUUAAACGAGGGAGGGACAGAGCUGGUUUCUCGAACCGAAAAGGGGAGGCCAAGGAACAAAACAGGGUUCUCCACUAAAAUCACACAGCGAUUACGGAUCUGGCUUUGGGGGCCUUUCCCCGGAAUGGCGGUUUCCGUCUUCUUGGCCCGCAGCACGACCUUGGGUGCUCCGUAAGAGGAGUGGGGAGAGGCAGAGGCGGUGUCGGCAGCCAAUCGGCGUCUGGUGAUUUCUGUCGGGCGCGUAGGGAUUGGCUGACGAUGACCUCAUGCUGCAGCAGCGGGUGGGGCCAGAGUCGUCGGGGGUGGCUGUUGCAAAGGCAGAGAGUGAGAAGUGAUGACGGUGAUCGUUGUCGCCGCGUCUUCUGUGGAACCCAAGCAGUGCCGAAGGAAGUCGCAAGGCUCUUCCCCGACCUUUUGCUCCUCUCCCUGCGCGAGGUGAGGGCCCUGGCUCGGCCUCUGCGAGACUUUGGGGCGCUGGUGCGGCCGUGGAGGCGCAAUUUCUCCUGUGACUUUUGUAACUGCGUCAGGGCAAGAUGGCGCUGGGUCUCCUUGGGGCGCGGGGGGAGAGGCACGUCCACCGCCGCCGCAGCGCAUGUGACCGGCUGCAUUCCUGUGGGGUUUGGCGGGGACCCAGGCAGGGCGGGGGAGGGGACCGGGUUUGGGCGGAGGAGAUGGUGGUGCGGUCGGCGUUGGCUGCCCGAAGAGGAAGAGAUGACUGUUUGAAAGCUCUUCCCCUCCCCCACUCCCCGCAGCAGAACUGCUGCGGGGGGGGGGGGAGCCCCUGAAAGGACACUCCUUUCGGGGUGUGCCAGCCACUGGUGGAGGAGAAGGUUUGACGCCUUCUUAUAUCUGCCUUUCUCCUUGCAAAGUAUGCUUACGUAAGGUGGCAGUUCCCUCCUGUAAGCCAACUAGGAGGCCCUGAGUGUCACUGGUAUGGGUAACAAGGACAGGUUAGGCUCUGAAGGCACCACAGGUAGGAGUGUUGAUUAUUUCAGACAAAACAUAAAGUUUGGGGGGUCUGAAUAGAAGACUACAGCAUUCUCAGAGUUUGAAAGCAAGUGAAUAACACCCAGGAACACUUAGGGUUUCUAGGCAGACAGCGAUUAAGGACUGCAUCACAGUCUGAACGGAAGGGCCCUGUCAAACCUUCUCCUUAGAUUCUUUGUGUUCAUUACCCUCCCUGUCUGUACAUCCCGUGAGAGAGUUUAAGUAAUCUUACUGGUGAGGGUUGCCUUUUCAAAUAUAAGUAUUCUUAGUAAUUUUAGUAUUUUGUUCUGUAUGAAACUGAAAGGUCAUUUUCUAUACUUCACGUUGCAUUUUGUCGUCCUUUUAAAAAUAAAAAAUGGAAUUACAAAUGC
rnacentral:lncRNA from 1 species